CCGCUUCCCUGCCCCUUUCACUCUCUCUCUCUCUCUCUCUGGCGAUUCAGAUCUGGAUCUAGGGUUUUUCUUCAAGGCGAUUCAAGAUCUAGCCUUUCUCACUAACAACAGAUCGAUAAACAAAUCUCAAUGUAGUGAAUAAAGCUUUGAACUCUUCCACACCCAACUUCAAAUCUGUAGAUGCUUGAUUUUCCUUCUAGGGUUUCUCAUACUCCACAACCCGUCGUCGCUGUUGAAGACAUAUCUGUCCCUCUAAAAAGUGGUUGAGGUCCAUCUCAACUUUGGUCUUCUUUGCAGUCUCUCCUUUAUGAGGUAUUUCAUGUGCUACCACUACAUCCUAUCAAGUUACACCUCUUUAAUCCUAUCAAUUUACUUAGUUUUAACUUUGAGAGUUACAUACCCCGUCUUUGAAAACCUGAAACUAUUUCAAAUUGCAAACCCCCAAGGCCCAAACAAUGGAACCUAAUACUGUUUCAAAAUUCAAACCCCAAACACCCAUAGGCUGUGCGUAUAGCAGAGAUGCUAGGGUUAGUGUAUUUUGAUAACAGAUCUACAGUAACGACAAUGUUAGUGUAUUAUGGCGGAGAUUCUAGGGUUCCGAUGACGUUUCCAUUUUGAUGAAUGUCUCCAUUUUCGUAUAGAUCGAACCUCGUAGUGAUGUUUGGAAUUGUUUUGGUUGUUCUAGCUUCUCCGACAAGCUUCUGGAUUUCCCAGCUUGGCUCGUGAUAUUCCUGGAAUAGCGUUCUAACUGACAAUGAACCAUUCAAGAGAUAAUGACUGAUAAUGAUAACACACCGUCUUGUCGUUGGAAGAAAUGAAGCAUUUUGUCAACAAAAUAGAUGUGAUGCGAGAGGAAUCUCUCUUCUCUUGGCCAGGUUGAUAACAGUGUGAAGGAAUCCACAAAUGAGGUUAAAAAUUCUGAAAAAAAACACAUGUUGUUCAGAUUUGUUGCUCAAAAUACCAACAAGACAUGCUCAAUUAGAUGCAUCUAAAGGCGGUACCUCAUCACGUGUUGUUAAAACUUAAAAGUGUAAGAUUUAAAGAGAAGACUCCUCGUGACGGUGAAAGAAGUCCUCUUCUACAUCCUGAAAGCCAUAUUGUUACCAAGAUUAAGUCUAUAUUCCACGGGAAUCGAUCUUGGUCUCUUCCGGUCAAACAAGGGUCAAACAUGUCCCCUUCGAUCACUACGCCUGUUUCAGCUAGGACAUAUAGUGAACAACAAAAAUCUCAGGUAUUCUUGCCGAUUACAUUAUUCCUAUACGACUCAUUAUAUAAUAUAACAUGAUCUGGUUCACAUGUUGGAUGUGCGUUUUCGAAAGUGAUUUAUCAUUUAUGUGACUUUAAUACACCAAAGCCAAUAAGCCAAAAGCUCCCCAAGGUAGACUUGCAGAAGCUUACAGUUUUUGUGUUGGUGGUGAACCGCUAAAGUUUUAGAGAUGGCUCAAGCGAACAGAGUUAGAGACGUUGUGGAAAUACAACGUGAGGACCAUCUUCACUGGUUUCGUUCCUACGUGUUGUAACCACUGCUACUAAUAUUGGAUCCAAAGAUCGUUGGGGAAAAGUACGUUCCAUAUUGGCCUAUUGCUAACAAAGAUACUGUGGUUGCACCAGAUUUGGCCAAGCUUUUUGUGUACAACCUUGGUACACCUGCUGACCAUUUGCAGUUCUGAAGCCUGGGUGACUCCGAUAUCUCGGGUCUGGUCAUGGUUAAUCAGGCCCGAUCCAAUCUCCUUACCUCAGAGCUUCAUCGAAGAUAGGUUGAGGCCGAGGUUGAAAACACGAAAUUGAGAUGUCAACUGCAGCAUAUUGGAAAGCACAGUGCACCCCGUUGGGAUCCUACUUUGCCAUACACACAUCAAUUUGAAGAGCUAAAGAAGAGCUUAGCCAAGGCAACCGCUGAUGGGCUUGCCCGCCAGGAUGCCGAAGAAAUUUUGGCGAAGACCAAAGCUUCGCUGGAGGUCAUGAUCGUGACUGUUGAAGCACAGCGAAAGGGGUUUCAAACCAAAAUUGAUGACCUUUCUAAGUCAUACGGGAAACAAAGCAAGUUGUAUGCUGAACUGGCAGCUGGUUAUUCUAGCUGAAGAAGUUGCUGCUUCAAAUGUUACCAUCUCCGACUUAACAACACAGAUUUGUGAUGCUAUCCAAGCUAGGGCAGAACAAGGUGUGCGCAUGUGCAUGCGGUGAAUGGUGAUUACGGAGAGAAAGGGUGGGAAGGGGCUUUUUGCCGGAAAAAACACCCACAGCUGUAGGCUGCAGCUAAUAAGACGAAUGAUGAUGGUGAAAAUUGCCGUAGGAGUUGGCUGAUUGGCAACAUGGUUGAGUUUAAAACCUAAGAGCUUGGAUUUUGUACAAGCUGCUGCUCUCUCUAUUGCAAUUGAGAUUGCCUAUGACGGUCUAGAAAGGGUUGGCUUUGGUGUAGGUAUAUCCAUGCUUGUUUAAAUCAAGCUGCUUAGGAGUUAAAGCGGCGAUCUGGCAAUCCACGUGAUGUGAGGUCCUAUGACGAGAAGAUUCAUAUUUUCUUAUUGAGUAACCAACUACAAAUAGAAAUAUUUUUAAUGAAACCUUUGUUGACCAGAUUUAUUUAUAUUAAAUAGCUUUAGUUAUUUGGUACCUUUUUAUAAAACAACCCGUUUUGACACGAAUCUAA